AGGACCCUCACAUCCCUUUCUGCUGCAUUGUUUUCCAGCAUCUCAUUCCCCAGUCUGUACAUACAUCCAGGGUAACCCCAUCCCAGAACCUCCCUGCCUUUGAAGGAGUCAACAGCUCCUCCCUUUCCAUCAUCUGCAAACUUGCUCAGUCCCUUCCAGUCCUGUAUCCAAGCCAAUUAUGAAGAUGUUAGAGAGCACAGGGCCAAGGAUGGAGCCCUGUGGAACCCCACUAGUGACAGCUGUGUUGGACAUCUUGUCCAGAAGGAUCCUGUGAACAACAGUAUCAAAAGUGCUACUGAAAUCCAAAAAGAUUGCAUCAACUGGCUUCCCUUGAUCCGCUAGGUGGGUUACCUUGUCAUAAAAGGAAAUCAGAUUUGACAGAUUUGAAGAUGGGAAGCUUCCAGGUGACCUACAGCCAGUUAAAUUCACAACACACAAAGACCUCACUUCACCAGCUCCUUCUGAAGAGAGAAAAAAAAUCAGAGAGAGAAGGUGGGCCCCUUUAACAGACAGAUAUAAUUAACCAGUCCCACAAUUUAUCAAAGUUUCUCAGGCAUUUCCAACCAUGGCAAUUUUAAAUCAAGGUUGGAUGCUUUAUUUCUGAAAUAAAUGCUCUUGUUCAAACAAGAAUUAUUUCAGGGAAGGUUGAUAGUAUAUGUUGUAAGACAAGGUCAGACUAGAUUAUCACAGUAUUCCCUUCUGGCAUUAUAAUCUAUGAAUCUAUAAAAG